CACUGAUAUGUUAUCGAGGAGGGAAGUGGAUACUGGAUAAUUUGUACAUAAUUUUAUAUAUUUUGGAGUACAUAAAUUAAACUUAAAGUCAGACAUCACCUGCUUCUUUCGAUGUUCUACCGACAUCCUAUUUCUACUAAAUAGCAUUGAAGGAUUAAGGUUCGUUGGAGUUGGGACAGAAUACUGUAUUCCCAAAAGCUGAAAAGGAGUAACUCAUUUCAUAUCGUGUGGAGGUAACUUGGAAACUUUCUUGGCACAAUAACAUAUUAAUUUCUUCCAGUUGGCCGCCUUUAUAUCUGCACACAGGUAUAUAUAUGUAGAUUAGUAGAUACGACUAAAGUUGCAGCGUUAUUCCUACAUGGUUGUAGACACAGGUCAUUAGCUAGUCGCUUGAUAAUCAUGCGAAAUAUCUCUCCUCUCACAAGGCAUUAUUUUAUUAGACAGAAGUUAUAAUGUGUCUAGUUUCGAGGCGAGGAAUAUUCUUGCGUUCGAGCAAGAAUAUUCUUCCGAUCUGUGUAAUGACAACAGGAUAAACGUUACGCUUAUUUCAACACAUACUAUAUAUACUGUACUGAGUGUAUACUAUAUGAAUAUAUUAAAACAACAUUGCUACAUGGUUGUACUUGUUUUAAGUUUUAACUAUUAGCGCUAACUGCCGGGCAAACUCAAACUUUAAGAAUCAAUAUUUUCGGAGAAACAAACUUUUAUUUUAAUAGUGGUAUACUUGUUGCAUAUUUCCAUACACGCGUAAAAAUUGAGAAAAUCAACAACUUGUUGCAAGUUGAUAGCGACAGGCGUGAACAAGGUUGUGUGGCCCGCUAUGAACAUGAUCAGUACUGUCAACACAAAGGCCCAUUUGCAUCAUGAAUGAUGACAUAGCAAAAUUAGGUAAUUUUAACCACCAUGACGAUACAUCUUUUCUCAGUUUUGCAGAGUUCGCUGUUAGAGAACAAUUUGCAAAAGCACUAACAAAUUUACGUAUUUGGAAUUGGAUCAACAUUCAAAGUCGAGAAAAGUAAGUCCAUUUAAUUUAUCACGUAUUUAUAUCUAUAAUCAAUUUGUA
rnacentral:lncRNA from 1 species